UAGAAUCUCUGGCAAAGUGGCGACCCAGAACAGGGACUUGAGGACGUUGCAAAGUGGCAUCGGAACACAGGGACCUGAGGAUGUGAACGAAGACGGUCGGCUGGAGCAGAGGAACCGAAAAUGACAAGAUGAAUGGGGAUCCCGGGACGAGUCUGCCAGCAGCGGAUAUAGGGUCAGUGCCCUAAAGGGGUACUGAUCAGUGCCCUAAAGAGGUACUCGGAGCGAUAUAAGGGCACUGGGGACGCUGGGUGCACUGGAGCCCGAGACCCCUCUCAUGGCUGUCCUGGUCGCCAGUCCUGUGGGCUGUGAUUCUGAGUAUCCUGUUGUCCAAGGCCUCCACGGAGAACGCGGCUCUGCUCGGCUGCCAGGACCUGCUGAGGACAAACGGUGUGUGCAGAACCAGGCGCCUGGGCCCCCGGGGCGUGCGCGGCGGGAGCGUCUGAGACCCGGGAGAUGGAGUCUCGACCUCGAAGCAGACGGCGGCGCUGGGUGCCCUGAAGGAGGAGGCGCUGCUGCAGACCACGAGCGCGGAGCUUGGGGAGGCGCAGGCAAAGCUGAUGUAGCAGGAGAGCGCCCUGCGGGAACUGCGUGAGCGUGUGACCCAUGGCUUGGCUGAAGCCGGCAGGGACCGCGAGGACGUCAGCACUGAGCUGUACCGGGCGCUGGAGGCCGUGAGGCUGCAGAACAGUGAGGGUGAGGGGGGAUAGGAGGGGGGGCGGUGUAAAUGGACCCUGCCCGUGUGCGUCGCCGGACCCCCUCUUUGACCUUGGCCUGGUCCUGUGGCUCCACCCCUGAGCCCGUGGGGCCAAACCCCUACCCCCUGCGUCCUCUUGGUGCGCUCUCCCUGAAAGCACUCGACCUCUCUGACCCUCGCCACCCUGCGGGUUCCUGUGAGCCGUGCCCCACGUCGUGGCUGCCCUUCGGGGACUCCUGCUACUAUUUCUCUGUGCCGAAGACCACGUGGGCAGAGGCGCAUGACCACUGCGCCGAUGCCAGCGCACAUCUGGUGAUGUAGGGAGCCUGGAGGAGCAGGACUUCCUGAGACACUAGUGCCCUUGAAUACUGGAUCGGCCGCAGGGCCGUGCAACACCUGCGCAAGGUUCAGGGCUACUCGUGGGUGGACGGAGUCCCACUCAGCUUCAGGGGUGCGAGGCCUGUGUCAUGAUUCUGGGCAUGGGGCUGUGGAUCGACCCACCACGUGAUGAGAAAGCUGGCGGGAUCUGUGAGAAGAGGCACGGUGCUGACCCUGCCCGUUGCCCCAGAGCCAUGCCCAGUGCCCAAAGGGGUGCUGUGCUGGGCUCCUGGAACCCACUGCCAAGGAUUUUCUUUUCCCCAUCCACCACUGCUGAGAACCAAUCAGCCAGGCCCAGCCCUGUCCAGUGCCUGCGCUCUGGGACCUCUGCUCUGACCUCAUGCAGACCUAACCUAACCUUCACUGGCUCCAAAAUCUCCACUUCUGGACCCCAGUGGUCUGACCCCACCUCUCCCCCUAGCCAAGGUCAGGCAACUGAGCAAUGGAGCUAUUUGCUUUUCCUGCAUUUUCCCGCAAAGGGGAAAAUGGUACUUCCUGCAAAGCUCUCUUUGCAGCCUGGGGGAGCAUCAAUAAAGG